AUGGGAAAGACUAGAGAUCUCUUCAAGAAAAUUAGAGCUACCAAGGGAACGUUUCAUGCAAAGAUGGGCACAAUAAAGGACAGAAAUGGUAUGGACCUAACAGAAGCAGAAGAUAUUAAGAAGAGGUGGCAAGAAUACACAGAACUGUACAAAAAAGAUCUUCCUGACCCAGAUAAUCAUGAUGGUGUGAUCAUUCACCUAGAGCCAGACAUCCUGGAAUGUGAAAUCAAGUGGGCCUUAGAAAGCAUCACUACGAACAAAGCUAGUGGAGGUGAUGGAAUUCCAGUUGAGCUAUUUCAAAUCCUAAAAGAUGCUGCUGUGAAAGUGCUGCACUCAAUAUGCCAGCAAAUUUGGAAAACUCAGCAGUGGCCGCAGGGCUGGAAAAGGUCAGUUUUCAUUCCAAUCUCAAAGAAAGGUAAUGCCAAAGAAUGCUCAAACUACCACACAACUGCACUCACCUCACAUGCUACCAAAGUAAUGCUCAAAAUUCUGCAAGCCAGGCUUCAACAAUAUGUGAACCAUGAACUUCCAGAUGUUCAAGCUGGAUUUAGAAAAGGCAGAGGAACCAGAGACCAAAUUGCCAAUAUUUGUUGGAUCAUUGAAAAAGCAAGAGAGUUCCAGAAAAAUAUCUACUUCUGCUUUAUUGACUAUGCCAAAGCCUUCGACUGUGUGGAUCACAAUAAACUGUGGAAAAUUCUGAAAGAGACAGAAAUACCAGACCACCUGACCUGCCUCCUGAGAAAUCUGUAUGCAGGUCAGAAAGCAACAGUUAGAACUGGACUUGGAACCACAGACUGGUUCCAAAUAGGAAAAGUAGUACAUCAAGGCUGUAUAUUGUCACCCUGCUUAUUUAGCUUAUAUGCAGAGUACAUCAUGAGAAAUGCUGGGCUCGAUGAAGCACAAGCUGGAAUCAAAAUUGCCAGGAGAAAUAUCAAUAACCUCAGAUAUGCAGGUGACACCACCCUUAUGGCAGAAAGUGAAGAAGAACUAAAGAGCCUCUUGAUGAAAGUGAAAGAGGAGAGUGAAAAAGUUGGCUUAAAGCUCAACAUUCAGAAAAUGGAGAUCAUGGCAUCUGGUCCCAUCACUUCAUGGCAAAGAGAUGGGGAAACAGUGGAAACAGUGACAGACUUUAUUUUGGGGGGCUCCAAAAUCACUGCAGAUGGUGACUGCAGCCAUGAAAUUAAGUGCCUCUUGCUCCUUGGAAAAAAAGUUAUGACCAACCUAGACAGCUCAUUAAAAAGCAGAGACAUUACUUUGCCAACAAAGAUCCAUCUAGGCAAGGCUUUGGUUUUUCCAGUAAUCAUGUAUGGAUGUAAGAGCUGA
rnacentral:lncRNA from 1 species